AACGAACGCUGGCGGCAGGCCUAACACAUGCAAGUCGAGCGCGCCCUUCGGGGUGAGCGGCGGACGGGUGAGUAACGCGUGGGAACGUGCCCUUUUCUACGGAAUAGCCUCGGGAAACUGAGAGUAAUACCGUAUACGCCCUUUGGGGGAAAGAUUUAUCGGAAAAGGAUCGGCCCGCGUUGGAUUAGGUAGUUGGUGGGGUAAUGGCCUACCAAGCCGACGAUCCAUAGCUGGUUUGAGAGGAUGAUCAGCCACACUGGGACUGAGACACGGCCCAGACUCCUACGGGAGGCAGCAGUGGGGAAUCUUAGACAAUGGGGGCAACCCUGAUCUAGCCAUGCCGCGGGAGUGAUGAAGGCCUUAGGGUUGUAAAGCUCUUUCAGCUGGGAAGAUAAUGACGGUACCAGCAGAAGAAGCCCCGGCUAACUCCGUG
rnacentral:rRNA from 1 species